CCAGAGUAUAAGAUAUUAUCCUCCUUGAGCUUAAAUCCAGAUCUCACCAGCCUGUUAAAUAUGUGUGGAUAUUCUUGCUCAACCUGUUCUUCUUCUUUAGAGAACUACUCAGGCAUAAAUUAAAAUGCUGAAGUGCUGAAAUUUGGCAGCUUAGCUGAGGGAAGAAAUUAUUAAUACUCUGCUCCUGCAAACAACUGACAGCUUGCUGAAGAGUGCUGCGAAACCUCCAUUUUCAAAAGGUGGUGAGGCUAUAUGCUGACCUUGGGGACUGUACAAUUUGAAUUACUGUUUUUUGAGGAGAAACAGAAGAAUUGUUUGUUAUAUCUGAAAAGGAUGUGUACUUAACUUGAAUGUGCAUACCCCAUCUGCAAACCAACCACUUCUAUUGACGAGUACAACAGAUGAAGUAGAGGCGUGUCUUUUUCUAUUGCCUAUCGACAUGCUCCACCGAUGAUGAUAUCUGGCAGUACCCUUACCUCACUUGAACAUUUUAGCUAUAUAUGUGCUUUUCCUGAAGAAGCCAGUUCCAGAAGAAAAUUUCUAUCAAUCAUCCUCAGAAAUCCAGUUUGCUAUACUGAUAUGUGUGACCGUAUGGACCUUCAGGUUGUCUGAACACAAACCGUCUACAAGUCCCAUUAUCCCUGUAGAAUACAACAUGGAGGCCCUUCUAGAAAGAACCCAAGCCACCUUCUCUAUUGAUUACGUUGCAUUGUGGCAAGGACAAGACAAGUCAGAUGUGUGGAAAUAAUCAGGAUGGCUAGGUUCUCCAGAGACCCUCUGCAUUUCUGGUAAGUGCUUUCCUGAGAUGCUCUAAAACAUGAGUCAUCAUCUGGUUUUCCCUUGGGCAUAGGAGCUGUUCCAUGGCCUGGAACACAACCUGCAGUGAAUUUCUGUGAUUCAACAGUGUAUGGUCUACAAAUACAAUGUUAAGCCUAACUUAGAGGCUCUACUUAGAAUGUGGGGAUAGGUUUAGAAUGCCAGUUUAUAUAGCUAUAAAAGAAUUGUAUAUACUUACUUCUCUGACUUCCUCUCAUGCUGUAUACAGUCUGAUUAAACCUUCUUCAUGCAAGCUAAAUGAUGUACAAUUUGCCCUGGCAAGGUCUACUGUAACCUCUCUAUAAUGUUGAAUUACUUUUAAGUCAUAAUGUUGCUAAUAAAGUAAUAAUAAUAAUAGAAGUAAUAAAAAUAUUCAGAAGGUUA